GACGAACGCUGGCGGCGUGCCUAAUACAUGCAAGUAGAACGCACGGUUUAUACCGUAGCUUGCUACACCAUAGACUGUGAGUUGCGAACGGGUGAGUAACGCGUAGGUAACCUGCCUGGUAGCGGGGGAUAACUAUUGGAAACGAUAGCUAAUACCGCAUAAUAUUAAUUAUUGCAUGAUAAUUAAUUGAAAGGUGCAAUUGCACCACUACCAGAUGGACCUGCGUUGUAUUAGCUAGUAGGUGAGGUAACGGCUCACCUAGUCGACGAUACAUAGCCGACCUGAGAGGGUGAUCGGCCACACUGGGACUGGGACACGGCCCAGACUCCUACGGGAGGCAGCAGUAGGGAAUCUUCGGCAAUGGACGAAAGUCUGACCGAGCAACGCCGCGUGAGUGAAGAAGGUUUUCGGAUCGUAAAGCUCUGUUGUAAGAGAAGAACGGGUGUGAGAGUGGAAAGUUCACACUGUGACGGUAUCUUACCAGAAAGGGACGGCUAACUACGUG
rnacentral:rRNA from 1 species